GAUGAACGCUAGCUACAGGCUUAACACAUGCAAGUCGAGGGGAAACGACAUCGAAAGCUUGCUUUUGAUGGGCGUCGACCGGCGCACGGGUGAGUAACGCGUAUCCAACCUGCCCAUCACUUGGGGAUAACCUUGCGAAAGUAAGACUAAUACCCAAUGAUAUCUCUAGAAGACAUCUGAAAGAGAUUAAAGAUUUAUCGGUGAUGGAUGGGGAUGCGUCUGAUUAGCUUGUUGGCGGGGUAACGGCCCACCAAGGCAACGAUCAGUAGGGGUUCUGAGAGGAAGGUCCCCCACAUUGGAACUGAGACACGGUCCAAACUCCUACGGGAGGCAGCAGUGAGGAAUAUUGGUCAAUGGACGAGAGCCUGAACCAGCCAAGUAGCGUGCAGGAAGACGGCCCUAUGGGUUGUAAACUGCUUUUAUAAGGGAAUAAAGUGAGAGUCGUGACUCUUUUUGUAUGUACCUUAUGAAUAAGGACCGGCUAAUUCCGUG
rnacentral:rRNA from 1 species